ACACGACUUCUGAAAGGCUGCCGACCCCUGCUCUAGAUGCAUGCAGCCAGGAGCUCUUCUCGAACCAAGAGAAAGGCAGCCAGUCACAGCAUCCGGUGCUUGGGGAAGGACAAACAACAGAGGAGGUUCCUGGUGCAACCUUGAGAUCUCUCAGCUGUCAUUCUUAUCACCGGCCGACAGACUGAGAAGACUCAGGAAGAGGCUGCGCAAAAGCAAAGAAGACAUGCUGCAUGAAGUCAUGCAGCAGUCUGUAAACAAGAAUCGAAAGUCACAGAAGUGGAGGGAGAGUGAAAGGAGGAUCUGCCAGGAAAAUGCAACACACCGGUGACAAAGAACGGAAUGGCUGAUUAGCAUAAUGGAGCCACAAUCAGACUCUAUCCAAGCAUUCGUCGCUAUGCAGGCAGAGCACUACCACGCUCGCCCCUCCACCCCCGCAGCCUUUGUCCCAAAACUCUUUCCCUUGUGCCCCCAUGUCCCCUCCAACCCACUUUCCCCAACAUCCGGGUUCUUACCACCCCCAGCUGCGUCCUACACCUGUAGCUUCACUACCCACCCACAAAAACAACGACUCUUAUUCACUGCACUCAACCCCCCUCAACAUGCCUUAUAGCCAUCCUGAAGUGCAUCACUCAGUGCACAGCACUCCAGACAGGAUUCGAGUGUAUGAAAUCAGGACAUACUCAAGCCUAUGAGUGAACUGGUCCCCACCCCACUCCCUUGCCCUCUUGUUAUUUCUGUGUUACUUUGGUUUUUUUCAAUAAUUGAAUUUACUUUUCAAUAAAUCAAGUUUUUUAC